rnacentral:rRNA from 1 species
UAAAGGUUUGGUCCUAGCCUUACUAAUAACUUUAAUUAUACUUACACAUGCAAGCCUCCACGCCCCCGUGAGAAUGCCCCAUUUCCCCUGAAGUGAGGGGCGGAUAUCAGGCGUAUGCCCAAGACAUCUUGCUCAGCACGCCACGGGCCCCAGCAGUGAUACACAUUGAAACAUAAGCGACAGCUUGAUUCAGUAAUAAUUUACUAGAGCUGGUCAAUCUCGUGCCAGCUACCGCGGUUAUACGAGAACCCAAGUUAUUUUAUACGGCCCAAAGGGUGGUUAAGGAAUAUUAGUCAUAAUAGGAUCAACACUACGCCAUGCUGUCAUACGCCCACGCUAAAUUAAGCCCAUCAGCGCAAGCAAUCCUAAACAAAAACCAACCUGAAUCCACGACAAUUAGAAAACAAACUAGGAUUAGAUACCCUAUUAUGCUAAUUAUAAACUUUGACAUAUCCGCCAGAGUACUACGAGCCACAGCUUAAAACUCAAAGGACUUGGCGGUGCUUUAAACCCACCUAGAGGAGCCUGUUCUGUAAUCGAUACCCCCCGAUAAACCUCACCGCACUUAGCCACUCAGCCUAUAUACCACCGUCCUCGCCCACCCUUUAAAGGAAAAACAAUGGGCAAAGUAAUAAACAUUAAAACGUCAGGUCAAGGUGUAGCCCAUAGUGCGGGAAGAAAUGGGCUACAUUUUCUUAUCAGAAAAUACGGAUGACCAAAUGAAAUACCCCAGAAGGAGGAUUUAGUAGUAAAGAGAAAAAAGAGU